UGAUGGAUGAUGAUGGAUGGAUGAUGAUGAUGUGGAUGGAUGGAUGGAUGGAUGGAUGGAUGAUGAUGGUGGAUGGAUGAGGAUGGAUGGAUGGAUGAUGAUGGAUGAUGAUGGAUGGAGAAUGGAUGGAUGGAUGAUGAUGGGUGAUGAUGAUGGAAGGAUGAUGAUGGAUGGAUGAUGAUGCAUGGAUGGAGGAUGGAUGAUGAUGAUGAUGGAAGGAUGAUGAUGGAUGAUGAUGGAAGGAUGAUGAUGGAUGGAUGAUGAUGAUGAUGGAUGAUGGAUGGAUGAUGAUGGAAGGAUGAUGAUGGAUGGAUGAUGAUGGAUGAUGAUGGAAGGAUGAUGAUGGAUGGAUGAUGAUGAUGAUGGAUGAUGGAUGGAUGAUGAUGGAAGGAUGAUGAUGGAUGGAUGAUGAUGAUGGAUGGAUGGAUGAUGAUGGAAGGAUGAUGAUGGAUGGAUGGAGGAUGGAUGAUGAUGGAUGAUGAUGAUGGAUGAUGGAUGGAUGAUGAUGGAAGGAUGAUGAUGGAUGAAUGAUGAUGGAUGGAUGGACGGAGGAUGGAUGAUGAUGAUGGAAGAAUGAUAUAAGGUUUCAUUUUGUUCUUCUAUAUUUCCUGUUGGUUGGUGUGUGAGAACAUGGAGUUAUUUUAGAACGUGCAGAUGUUUUAGAACAUGCAGAUGUUUUCGCUGCUGUUUCUUCAGGAACGUGACCUUCCGCUCCUCUGAUGGUGAACACUGGCACUCACUUUGACUUCGGUCUGCAGAGCUUCAUGAUGGUUUUACAGGCUGAAGAUCAGUUUGUUGAUAAUGACCUGAUUGGUUUUUCAUUGAUUGGAACCCUCUCCUGAGCUUUCAGCUGGACGUCAUGGUUGCCAUGAAGACGGUUCAGUCAGCAUCAUGUGACCUGCGGCUGAAAGCUCCGGGAGCUUCUCAGUGGACAAGAAGAGAUGGGGUUACUGAUGAGUGCUCCUCAGCCUCCGACUCAGCUUCAUCACGGCUGAUCUUUAUUUUUAUUGAUUAAUUUAUGAUUGAGCUCUUUGUUUCAUUUCCUUGUGGAUCAUUAAAGAGGAAAUUUUCAGGUUAAUAAUGUCUGUUUCUAUUUUCAUUCUGACUGAUCACUGAUCAAUAGAGGAACAGCUGAGACAGAAAACCUUUCAGCUCCUCAGGAACGUGUUCUCCAUGUUUCAGAUGUAAAUAUUUUCCAUAUUUAUACGUUCAUGAGUUCAUCUUUUUAUGGUCGCAGCAGAAUUUAAGCGUCUCCUAAUGCUUCUGUGAACAGACUGCACCUGAACGCACCACGACCUCAUGCACCUUUACCUGUCAGUAAACUGAAAGACACUUCAAACUUUUUAUGGUUCUGAUCCAGAACCUUGGUGGUCCUGGGGAUCAUAGGAGCUCCUACAAUUAAAAGGUGGUGU
ensembl:lncRNA